AUUGAACGCUGGCGGCAUGCCUUACACAUGCAAGUCGAACGGUAACAGGUCUUCGGGUGCUGACGAGUGGCGAACGGGUGAGUAUUACAUCGGAACGUGCCUAGUAGUGGGGGAUAACUACUCGAAAGAGUGGCUAACACCGCAUGAGAUCUACGGAUGAAAGCAGGGGAUCGCAAGACCUUGUGCUACUAGAGCGGCCGAUGGCAGAUUAGGUAGUUGGUGGGAUAAAAGCUUACCAAGCCGACGAUCUGUAGCUGGUCUGAGAGGACGAUCAGCCACACUGGGACUGAGACACGGCCCAGACUCCUACGGGAGGCAGCAGUGGGGAAUUUUGGACAAUGGGCGAAAGCCUGAUCCAGCAAUGCCGCGUGCAGGAUGAAGGCCUUCGGGUUGUAAACUGCUUUUGUACGGAACGAAAAGCCCCGGGUUAAUACCCUGGGGUCAUGACGGUACCGUAAGAAUAAGCACCGGCUAACUUCGUGCCAGCCGCCGCUGUAA
rnacentral:rRNA from 1 species